UUAUUGGGCUCCCAACUCCAGUUCUGAUCUAAGUGGCAACUUCUUAUUAUCCAGACACAAGACCACUGCUGUGAGCAUUUUGGUAGUAAUGCAGAUACACACACACAUACACACAUCUCCAGCUCUUCAAGAGUGUGACUAGAAGACUGAUAAUAUCAUUUAUAUAAACGGAAGCAAAAAUAGAUGGUUUGGAGUCAAAAAUUCCACAACUCAGAUUUAUAGUUAUUUAGGUGCAAUGGUGGAAGUGUGAUGAGUGUACUUACAAAUUCAUCUGACCACUGUUCCUCUUCCUCUGCCUCUGCGUAAAAACAAAUAAAAUUAGUUUGCUAGCCACUGAAGAGCAUGCAGGUUAGCAAGAUGUCAAAUACUUCCUUCUUGCAAAACUCUGUCUACAAAAUGCUCCUAACUGAGGUGUUCAUACAGCUACCUAAUACUGUAACUUAGAUUUACGGUAGUGAAAUGAACUGGCACUUGAGGACACAAUUCGAUAACCAUGUGCUACAAUAUACAGCAUUUGCAUUUUAUGGCAAAGGGGGAAAGCUGCUCCCCCUCCCCUUUGUUUAUCUUCUUGGCCACUUCUCAUAGGCUGUCACAUGCUGUGAUAUUUGCAGCUAUCGUUUUUUCCCAGUGGAAGCCUGCAUGCCUGACCAUCCAUCCCCAAUAGCUGUAUGCUAGGCAGUCUGCAACACUGAUUUCCUAUCCCUCGCCUGCACACCAUUUGCAUGAGACAUUAAUACAAUCUUCUGACAGGAACGAGGCACAUGCAGGCACCCCUCUUCUUGAAGAAAGUCAGCAUCUCUGUUUAAACAGGAACCAAGAAGGAGAGGAAACAUCUUGCAAAACGUUACCCAGGAAAUCUGAAGCCAAGGCACUGUGUAUAAUGGGCAUCCAAAACUGCUCUUUCUUAAAUCACAGCCUCCGAUGCCUAAAUGUGGUACAGUACUACUUUUCUCCUGAGGCUUCCUAAAUACCAUUCUGAAAGCUAGCAAAGGGUUAUGUUUCAUCAGGUACUUCUUUAUGGUUUGAUCUUUUAGCUGAGGCAGCUUUUCUGCGGCCUGCCUUUUCACAUCUAAUAGCCAAGGUAAUGAUUCAAAUUUCUUCAUAGUGAGGCAGGGUUCACGUUAGCUACAUGACACUUAUGAUCAACUAUGCAAUGAACUCAUUGAUUAAGUGCCCAUUUAACCAUUACCCUAGCCAUGUCGGAACCACUUCUGUGAGUGGUUUCCAUGUAGCUGAGAUAACUUUUAAUUAACCCAACCAUCUGGGUGGGGGCCAAGUACAUGGGCCCCCACCAAGGAAAGGGCACCCCCAAGGGCAAGAUACAUGUGACUUGCCCCUCACCUUCCUUUAUAAGCCCCAAACUCCCUAAACUGUGGUUGGUACCAACCACGGGACUUAAUUAACAGUUAAUAAACAGUUUCAUGUUCAUACCUCUAUAAUCUACUGGUGGCACACUUGGUGGUGGUUUAUUUGUUAGCCUGUGAAAAAUACAAAAGUAUUAUAUUACACUUCCAGACCUUUAAAUAAUAGUUGCAUAGCAACAAAGCACUUGGCGAAAACGAACUAUAACAAAAAGCUGGUGACAAAAGACCACGACAAAGACACUUAGCAAGAGGUAGAUGAAGAUGCAAACAAAUCUAUGGUUUGUGAUACUUCUGGGGAAAGAAUGCAUGUAAUGAACAUGGAUAUUUCUGCAGGAAAACACAACAGACAGAAAAUUAAGGAUGUAAGAAAUGCAGAUUGUUAGUUACAAAACUAUCCAAUACAACAUUUAGAAUGCUAAAUAGUGAAAUGUCCUUUUAAUCUGCAAAUUUUAGGUUUGAAUGCAUCCAGUAUUUCUUGUCUAUUCUGAAUCAGAAUCUGAUUCUGCAUCUCAAUAUUGUUUUCUAGCUUCUUUAUUUGAAAACAAGUUCCUUUCUUCUUUGCUAAUCAAAAUUUCAAUUUGUUUUCCACAGGGCCUAGGGACCAGUUCUGAUCCUGACCAGCUUAAGAGGAGCUGCUGAUGAAUGCAAAUCUAAGCAGAACUGGGUUCUCAGAUAAUGGAAAAAAGAAAAUUAAGAGGCUGAUGGUCUAGGGACUCGACAGGAGAGAGAAGGCGCUGCUUUUACAAGUAAACCCUGGCAAAAAACACAAAAGCAUUACACUGAAAGCGGGCAACAAGACUUCAUGCUGAACAACCAAAACUUGUGCAAUUCUCAAUCGCCAUACCGAUCCCAUGUAUUUUUUCCAGUUUUGCAAAUUAUGGCCAUUUGUUCAUUUUGGAACCUAAGUAUCAAAAGAGAGAAGAAAAGACAAACGUUUCUCAAGCAGGUUAGGUCUGUCAGUUUGUGAAAGCUGUAACACUCGUACUUGCAAAUGGAACGAAACCACAAAUGCACACCACUGGUAUUUCUGUAGCAUGACAUAGUGAGUCUUUGACAGUAUGAGUUCCACAUGUGCAUUUGGAGGACUUAUCUAGUUGCUUCGACCCAAUAGCUGCUAAAGUAAUCACUCAGCUGCAUUUUUAUUUCUUGUGAGUUUUGGCUGUUCAGAUUGGUGAACCUGCUGCUAGAGAAAGUAAACAGAAAGCUCCU